rnacentral:rRNA from 1 species
UUGAUCCUGGCUCAGGAUGACGGCUAGCGGCGCGCUUAAUGCAUGCAAGUCGAGCGAUGAGGCUCCUUCGGGAGUACAUCAGCGGCAGACGGGUGAGUAACACGUAGGUGACCUGCCCCAAAGACAAGGAUAACGGCUGGAAACAGUCGCUAAUACUGGAUAGUCUUGCACCGUCGAAAGUGUAAGUAAAGCUUCGGCGCUUUGGGAGGGGCCUGCGGCCUAUCAGCUAGUUGGUGAGGUAACGGCUCACCAAGGCGAAGACGGGUAGGGGGUGUGAGAGCACGACCCCCCACAAUGGGACUGAGACACGGCCCAUACUCCUACGGGAGGCAGCAGCAGGGAAUAUUGCACAAUGGACGGAAGUCUGAUGCAGCGACGCCGCGUGGAUGAUGAAGGCCCUCGGGUUGUAAAAUCCUUUUCAGGGGGACGAGGCAGGACGGUACCCUUGGAAUAAGCGUCGGCUAACUACGUGCCAGCAGCCGCGGUAAGACGUAGGACGCAAGCGUUAUCCGGAUUUACUGGGCGUAAAGCGUCUGCAGGCGGUUCCAUAAGUUGGGCGUGAAAGCUCCGGGCUCAACCCGGAGAGGUCGUUCAAUACUGUGGAACUAGAGGGCAUCAGAGGGGCGUGGAAUUUCCGGUGUAGCGGUAAAAUGCGCAGAUAUCGGAAGGAACACCAAUGGCGAAGGCAGCGCUCUGGGGUGUACCUGACGCUAAGAGACGAAAGCUAGGGGAGCGAACAGGAUUAGAGACCCUGGUAGUCCUAGCCCUAAACGAUGGAUGCUAGGUGUGGGAGCGAGAGCUUCCGUGCCGGAGUUAACGCGCUAAGCAUCCC